AUGCAAAGAAAUAGAGAAAACAAUAGAAUGGGAAAGACUAGAGAUCUCUUCAAGAAAAUUAGAGAUACCAAGGGAAAAUUUCAUGCAAAGAUGGGAUCAAUAAAGGACAGAAAUGGUACGGACCUAACAGAAGCAGAAGAUAUUAAGAAGAGGUGGCAAGAAUACACAGAAGAACUGUACAAAAAAGAUCUUCAUGACCUGGAUAAUCACAAUGAUGUGAUCACUCAUUUACAGCCAGACAUCCUGGAAUGUGAAGUCAAGUGGGCCUUAGAAAGCAUCACUACGAACAAAGCUAGUGAAGGUGAUGGAAUUCCAGUUGAGCUGUUUCAAAUCCUGAAAGAUGAUGUUGUGAAAGUGCUGCAUUCGAUAUGUCAGCAAAUUUGGAAAACUCAGCAGUGGCCACAGGACUGGAAAAGGUCAGUUUUCAUUCCAAUCCCAAAGAAAGGCAAUGCCAAAGAAUGCUCAAACUACCAAACAAUUGCACUCAUCUCACACACUAGUAAAGUAAUGCUCAAAAUUCUCCAAUCCAGGCUUCAACAAUAUGUGAACCGUGAACUUCCUGAUGUUCAAGCUGGUUGUAGAAAAGGCAGAGGAACCAGAGAUCAAAUUGCCAACAUCCGCUGGAUCAUGGAAAAAGCAAGAGAGUUCCAGAAAAACAUCUAUUUCUGCUUUAUUGAAUAUGCCAAAGCCUUUGACUGUGUGGAUCACAAGAAACUGUGGACAAUUCUGCAAGAGAUGGGAAUACCAGACCACCUGACCUGCCUCUUGAGAAAUCUGUAUGCAGGUCUGGAAGCAACAGUUAGAACUGGACAUGGAACAACAGACUGGUUCCAAAUAGGAAAAGGAGUGCAUCAAGGCUGUAUAUUAUCACCCUGCUUACUUAACUUAUAUGCAGAGUACAUAAUGAGAAACGCUGGACUGGAAGAAACACAAGCUGGAAUCAAGAUUGCCGGGAGAAAUAUCAAUAACCUCAGAUAUUCAGAUGACACCACCCUUAUGGCAGAAAGUGAAGAGGAGCUAAAAAGCCUCUUGAUGAAAGUGAAAGAGGAGAGUGAAAAAGUUGGCUUAAAGCUCAACAUUCAGAAAACAAAAAUCAUGGCAUCUGGUCUGAUCACUUCACGGGAAAUAGAUGGGGAAAGAGUGGAAACAGUGUCAGACUUUAUUUUUGGGGGCUCCAAAAUCACUGCAGAUGGUGACUGCAGCCAUGAAAUUAAAAGACGCUUCCUCCUUGGAAGGAAAGUUAUGACCAACCUAGAUAGUAUAUUCAAAAGCAGAGACAUUACUUUGCUGACUAAGGUGCAUCUAGUCAAGGCUAUGGUUUUUCCUGUGGUCAUGUAUGGAUGGGAGAGUUGGACUGUGAAGAAGGCUGAGCACCAAAGAAUUGAUGCUUUUGAACUGUGGUGUUGA
rnacentral:lncRNA from 1 species